rnacentral:rRNA from 1 species
AUGGCGGAGGCGCUCGCGUCCGCGGGUGGGCUCGCCAUGGCGGCCUCGACCUCCUUCACGCCUGGCCAGCUUUCUGCUUUUCUGGGAUUUCUUUGGGUUCUUGCGGCCUGGGUGUAUGCCGAGGUUCUCUUUCAUAGGAAGAAUGCUGCUUCACUUAAAACUAGACACUCGGACAUCAAUUUAUCAGACAUGGAUAGCAGCUCAAACAAAGGAGAGGAUCAAACAAUGUUACUGGAGGAGGGUGGUCAAGUAGCUGGUGCAAAGCCAGCAGUUUAUGCUUCUUUCACAUCACAGAUGCUCAGUUGGUUCCACAGACUUUUCUGUAUGGACCAGACACUUCUUCUGGAGCAUCGAUUGACACUGAGGGCAAUAUCCGAGCUUGGAGGCCAUCUACUUUACUUUUACAUAUGCGACCGCACAAAUAUAUUCGGAGAGUCUGAAAAGAAUUACAGCCGAGAUCUCUUCCUUUUCCUCUAUUUUCUUCUUAUCAUCGUAGCAGCUAUUACUUCCUUCAAGGUCCACCAAGAUAAGUCCACAUUCACUGGAAAAUCUGUACUAUAUUUGAAUAGGCAUCAGACGGAAGAAUGGAAGGGUUGGAUGCAGGUGCUAUUCUUGAUGUACCACUACUUCAAUGCUAAAGAGAUCUACAAUGCGAUUCGUGUGUUCAUUGCUGCAUAUGUGUGGAUGACUGGAUUUGGUAACUUCUCCUAUUAUUAUGUGCGGAAGGAUUUCAGUCUGGGACGAUUUGCUCAGAUGAUGUGGCGCCUCAAUUUCUUUGUGGCAUUCUGUUGUAUUGUCCUAAAUAAUGAUUACACACUAUAUUAUAUUUGCCCUAUGCACACUCUUUUCACCCUCAUGGUGUAUGGUGCUCUUGGAAUUCUAAACAAGUACAAUGAGAUUAGAUCAGUGAUUGCUAUAAAAUUUGUUGGGUGCUUCUUGGUAGUUAUCUUGGUAUGGGAAAUCCCAGGUGUCUUUGAGAUAGUCUGGAGCCCAUUCACUUUUCUUCUAGGUUAUGAUGAUCCUUCUAAACCAGAUCUCCCCAGGUUGCAUGAGUGGCACUUCCGAUCUGGACUUGAUCGCUACAUAUGGAUUGUGGGGAUGAUAUAUGCCUAUUACCAUCCAACGGUUGAGAAGUGGAUGGAAAAGCUUGAAGAAGCUGAAACAAGAACAAAACUCUAUAUUAAGGCCUCUAUAGUUACAGUUUCUUUAACGGCUGGGUAUUUGUGGUACGAGUACAUCUAUAAGCUGGACAAGAUUACCUACAAUAAAUACCAUCCCUACACAUCCUGGAUCCCCAUAACUGUUUACAUCUGCCUGCGCAACUUCACUCAAGAAUUCCGGGCGUGCUCUCUAACGCUAUUUGCCUGGCUUGGAAAGAUUACACUAGAAACAUAUAUAUCUCAGUUCCAUAUCUGGCUCAGAUCAAAGGUACCCAAUGGGCAACCCAAGUGGCUAUUGACGAUAAUCCCAGAUUACCCACUACUUAACUUCAUGCUCACUACUGCGCUAUAUGUUGCGGUUUCCCAUAGGCUCUUCGAACUGACUAAUACUUUGAAGAUAGCAUUUGUACCUCGUGAUAACAAGCACCUCUCAUACAAUUUUGUCGCAGGGAUUACCAUUUCAGUUGCACUCUACUCUGUAUCAUUUGCCUUGGUUGGCAUAGCAGGAUACUAG